UACGGAGGGUGCAAGCGUUAAUCGGAAUUACUGGGCGUAAAGCGUGCGCAGGCGGUUUUGUAAGUCUGUCGUGAAAUCCCCGGGCUUAACCUGGGAAUGGCGAUGGAGACUGCGAGGCUAGAGUUUGGCAGAGGGGGGUAGAAUUCCACGUGUAGCAGUGAAAUGCGUAGAGAUGUGGAGGAACACCGAUGGCGAAGGCAGCCCCCUGGGUCAAAACUGACGCUCAUGCACGAAAGCGUGGGGAGCAAACAGG
rnacentral:rRNA from 1 species